rnacentral:rRNA from 1 species
UACAGAGGGUGCGAGCGUUAAUCGGAAUUACUGGGCGUAAAGCGUGCGUAGAUGGUUAUGUAAGUCGGAUGUGAAAGCCCCGGGCUCAACCUGGGAAUUGCAUUCGAGACUGCAUAGCUAGGAUGCGGAAGAGGGAAGCGGAAUUUCCGGUGUAGCGGUGAAAUGCGUAGAUAUCGGAAGGAACACCAGUGGCGAAAGCGGCUUCCUGGUCCAGCAUCGGCGUUCAGGCACGAAAGCGUGGGGAGCAAACAGG